UAGGGAAUCUUCGGCAAUGGACGAAAGUCUGACCGAGCAACGCCGCAUGAGUGAAGAAGGUUUUCGGACCGUAAAGCUCUGUUGUUGGUGAAGAAGGAUAGAGGUAGUAACUGGCCUUUAUUUGACGGUAAUCAACCAGAAAGUCACGGCUAACUACGUGCCAGCAGCCGCGGUAAUACGUAGGUGGCAAGCGUUGUCCGGAUUUAUUGGGCGUAAAGCGAGCGCAGGCGGAAGAAUAAGUCUGAUGUGAAAGCCCUCGGCUUAACCGAGGAAUUGCAUCGGAAACUGUUUUCUUGAGUGCAGAAGAGGAGAGUAGAACUCCAUGUGUAGCGGUGGAAUGCGUAGAUAUAUGGAAGAAUACCAGUGGCGAAGGCGGCUCUCUGGUCUGCAACUGACGCUGAGGCUCGAAAGCAUGGGUAGCGAACAGGAUUAGAUACCCUGGUAGUCCAUGCCGUAAACGAUGAGUGCUAAGUGUUGGGAGGCUUCCGCCUCUCAGUGCUGCAGCUAACGCAUUAAGCACUCCGCCUGGGGGAGUACGACCGCAAGGUUGAAAC
rnacentral:rRNA from 1 species